rnacentral:rRNA from 1 species
CCUACGGGAGGCAGCAGUAGGGAAUAUUGCACAAUGGGGGAAACCCUGAAGCAGCAACGCCGCGUGGAGGAUGAAGGUUUUAGGAUUGUAAACUCCUUUUGUUAGAGAAGAUUAUGACGGUAUCUAACGAAUAAGCACCGGCUAACUCCGUGCCAGCAGCCGCGGUAAUACGGAGGGUGCAAGCGUUACUCGGAAUCACUGGGCGUAAAGAGUGCGUAGGCGGGGUAAGAAGUCAGAUGUGAAAUCCUGUAGCUUAACUACAGAACUGCAUUUGAAAAUGUUACUCUGGAGUGUGGGAGAGGUAGGUGGAAUUCUUGGUGUAGGGGUAAAAUGCGUAGAGAUCAAGAGGAAUACUCAUUGCGAAGGCGACCUGCUGGAACAUUACUGACGCUGAUGCACGAAAGCGUGGGGAGCAAACAGGAUUAGAUACCCCUGUAGUC